rnacentral:lncRNA from 1 species
GAAAUGAACUUCAGAAGACCAAGACCCUUUGGGUAUUUCUAAAGUGAAGUCUGCACACUAGUUUCAAGCAAUGGCUAUGGAGGGUUUCCCAGCUAUUGAGGUGUAUUAUGUGUGUUGGGAUACACAAGAUCCAGCUGAAGCUGGUGAGAUGAGUUUAGGAAUGCCCAAUGGAGGCACUCUAUCAAAUGUUACUGAGUAUGAGAUGAGAAUAACCUGCCCAUGGUCACAUAUUGUGUCAAAGGUGGAAACUAAAUAGAUAUUCUUUUUCCUAAGUGAGUAUUUUAUCCAUCACACCAUUCUGCCUCCUACAUUAUAAUAUUAAUAUUAUUUUUGUACCAUCUUUCCCUAAUUUUGAACUAUCCUUGCAUUCCUAGUAUUACUCAAACUAAUUUAAAAUGGCCAUAAUUUUGUAUAUGUUGUUAUAAUAACUCUACCAGUAUUUUAUUUAGCAUUGGUAUACUUUUGCAUUUUUGUGAUAACAUUUUAUAGAUCUCUUUCUUUGCUUUACCUUUUGCUGGUUUGGGUGAGACAAUCAUGAUUGUCUCAUAGAAAAGGUUGGACAAAGGGCUCCAGUUUCUAUCAAUAGAAACAUUUUCUAUAGCAAAGUUAAUAUUUAUCUUAAAUAUUUGAUGAAGUUCACUUAGUGAAAACUAUCUGUUCCUGAAAUUUUUGUUUUACUUUUAGGAGAUCAUGAAUAAUUUGUUCAAUUCCCUUCUGAAGUUGCUCAAUUUUUUCUUCAUUUUAUUAUCUAGGCUCUAUUUUGUUGAUGCCUUAAAUCUUGUUGGUACAUAAUAGUGCAUAUUUUCUUUUCCUUCCCCACUUUUGAUUUUGAUUAUUUAGUCCUCACUCCACCCCCUAAUUAUAUUUGGAUUUUCUAUCUCUGUUUUGCUUUUUAGUAUUUUUUUGGCAUUUAAAUUUUGUUUAUUUUACUUCAGAUUUUCAAAAUUUCACAUUGCAUUUUUUGGAAUUUAAUAUUUACAUGUUGGUUUUAUUAUUUCAAAAG